rnacentral:rRNA from 1 species
GACGAACGCUGGCGGUGUGCUUAACACAUGCAAGUCGAACGGUAAGGCCCUUUCGGGGGUACACGAGUGGCGAACGGGUGAGUAACACGUGAGUAACCUGCCCUCAUCUCUGGGAUAACAGUCGGAAACGGUUGCUAAUACUGGAUAUGAGCCUGCAAGGCAUCUUGUGGGUUGGAAAGAUUUUUUGGUUGGGGAUGGACUCGCGGCCUAUCAGCUUCUUGGUGAGGUAGUGGCUCACCAAGGCUUCGACGGGUAGCCGGCCUGAGAGGGCGACCGGCCACAUUGGGACUGAGAUACGGCCCAAACUCCUACGGGAGGCAGCAGGGGGGAAUAUUGCACAAUGGACGGAAGUCUGAUGCAGCAACGCCGCGUGCGGGAUGACGGCCUUCGGGUUGUAAACCGCUUUCAAUUGUGACGAAGCUUUUUGUGACGGUAGCAGUAGAAGAAGCACCGGCUAACUACGUG